rnacentral:rRNA from 1 species
UACGUAGGGGGCGAGCGUUAUCCGGAAUUACUGGGCGUAAAGAGUGCGUAGGUGGCUUUGUAAGCGCAGGGUUUAAGGCGACGGCCCAACCGUCGUUCGCCUUGCGAACUGCAUGGCUUGAGUGCAGGAGGGGAAAGUGGAAUUCCUAGUGUAGCGGUGAAAUGCGUAGAUAUUAGGAGGAACACCGGUGGCGAAGGCGACUUUCUGGACUGUAACUGACACUGAGGCACGAAAGCGUGGGGAGC